CCUACGGGAGGCAGCAGUGGGGAAUAUUGCGCAAUGGGCGAAAGCCUGACGCAGCGACGCCGCGUGAGGGAUGAAGGUCUUCGGAUCGUAAACCUCUGUCAGCAGGGAAGAACGGUCACUGUGCUAAUCAGCAGUGAAUUGACGGUACCUGCAAAGGAAGCACCGGCUAACUCCGUGCCAGCAGCCGCGGUAAUACUGAGGGUGCGAGCGUUAAUCGGAAUUACUGGGCGUAAAGCGCUCGUAGGCGGUCUGUCAAGUCAAGGGUGAAAUCCCCGCGCUCAACGUGGGAACUGCAUUUGAAACUGGCAAACUGGAGUGUGUGAGAGGAUAGUGGAAUUCCAGGUGUAGGGGUGAAAUGCGUAGAUAUCUGGAGGAACAUCAGUGGCGAAGGCGACUAUCUGGCACAUAACUGACGCUGAGGAGCGAAAGCGUGGGUAGCAAACAGGAUUAGAUACCCUUGUAGUC
rnacentral:rRNA from 1 species